rnacentral:rRNA from 1 species
CGAACCGGCGAACGGGUGCGUAACACGUGAGCCAACCUACCGAAGGUGUGGGGGAUAGCCGGCCUAACGGCCGAGUAAUACCGCAUACGAUUCCGGAAGAGGCAUUUCUUUGGAAUGAAACCUACGGGGUACUUCGAGGGGCUCGCGGCCUAUCAGCUAGUUGGUGAGGUAACGGCUCACAAGGCAACGACGGGUAGCUGGUCUGAGAGGAUGGCCAGCCACAUUGGGACUGAGAAACGGCCCAG